rnacentral:rRNA from 1 species
UCCUGACUGACCGAUAGUGAACCAGUACCGUGAGGGAAAGGCGAAAAGAACCCCGGCGAGGGGAGUGAAAAAGAACCUGAAACCGUGUACGUACAAGCAGUGGGAGCACGCUUAGGCGUGUGACUGCGUACCUUUUGUAUAAUGGGUCAGCGACUUAUAUUCUGUAGCAAGGUUAACCGAAUAGGGGAGCCGAAGGGAAACCGAGUCUUAACUGGGCGUUAAGUUGCAGGGUAUAGACCCGAAACCCGGUGAUCUAGCCAUGGGCAGGUUGAAGGUUGGGUAACACUAACUGGAGGACCGAACCGACUAAUGUUGAAAAAUUAGCGGAUGACUUGUGGCUGGGGGUGAAAGGCCAAUCAAACCGGGAGAUAGCUGGUUCUCCCCGAAAGCUAUUUAGGUAGCGCCUCGUGAAUUCAUCUCCGGGGGUAGAGCACUGUUUCGGCAAGGGGGUCAUCCCGACUUACCAACCCGAUGCAAACUGCGAAUACCGGAGAAUGUUAUCACGGGAGACACACGGCGGGUGCUAACGUCCGUCGUGAAGAGGGAAACAACCCAGACCGCCAGCUAAGGUCCCAAAGUCAUGGUUAAGUGGGAAACGAUGUGGGAAGGCCCAGACAGCCAGGAUGUUGGCUUAGAAGCAGCCAUCAUUUAAAGAAAGCGUAAUAGCUCACUGGUCGAGUCGGCCUGCGCGGAAGAUGUAACGGGGCUAAACCAUGCACCGAAGCUGCGGCAGCGACGCUUAUGCGUUGUUGGGUAGGGGAGCGUUCUGUAAGCCUGCGAAGGUGUGCUGUGAGGCAUGCUGGAGGUAUCAGAAGUGCGAAUGCUGACAUAAGUAACGAUAAAGCGGGUGAAAAGCCCGCUCGCCGGAAGACCAAGGGUUCCUGUCCAACGUUAAUCGGGGCAGGGUGAGUCGACCCCUAAGGCGAGGCCGAAAGGCGUAGUCGAUGGGAAACAGGUUAAUAUUCCUGUACUUGGUAUUACUGCGAAGGGGGGACGGAGAAGGCUAUGUUGGCCGGGCGACGGUUGUCCCGGUUUAAGCGUGUAGGCUGGUUUUCCAGGCAAAUCCGGAAAAUCAAGGCUGAGGCGUGAUGACGAGGCACUACGGUGCUGAAGCAACAAAUGCCCUGCUUCCAGGAAAAGCCUCUAAGCAUCAGGUAACAUCAAAUCGUACCCCAAACCGACACAGGUGGUCAGGUAGAGAAUACCAAGGCGCUUGAGAGAACUCGGGUGAAGGAACUAGGCAAAAUGGUGCCGUAACUUCGGGAGAAGGCACGCUGAUAUGUAGGUGAAGUCCCUUGCGGAUGGAGCUGAAAUCAGUCGAAGAUACCAGCUGGCUGCAACUGUUUAUUAAAAACACAGCACUGUGCAAACACGAAAGUGGACGUAUACGGUGUGACGCCUGCCCGGUGCCGGAAGGUUAAUUGAUGGGGUCAGCGCAAGCGAAGCUCUUGAUCGAAGCCCCGGUAAACGGCGGCCGUAACUAUAACGGUCCUAAGGUAGCGAAAUUCCUUGUCGGGUAAGUUCCGACCUGCACGAAUGGCGUAAUGAUGGCCAGGCUGUCUCCACCCGAGACUCAGUGAAAUUGAACUCGCUGUGAAGAUGCAGUGUACCCGCGGCAAGACGGAAAGACCCCGUGAACCUUUACUAUAGCUUGACACUGAACAUUGAGCCUUGAUGUGUAGGAUAGGUGGGAGGCUUUGAAGUGUGGACGCCAGUCUGCAUGGAGCCGGCCUUGAAAUACCACCCUUUAAUGUUUGAUGUUCUAACGUGGACCCGUGAUCCGGGUUGCGGACAGUGUCUGGUGGGUAGUUUGACUGGGGCGGUCUCCUCCUAAAGAGUAACGGAGGAGCACGAAGGUUGGCUAAUCCUGGUCGGACAUCAGGAGGUUAGUGCAAUGGCAUAAGCCAGCUUGACUGCGAGCGUGACGGCGCGAGCAGGUGCGAAAGCAGGUCAUAGUGAUCCGGUGGUUCUGAAUGGAAGGGCCAUCGCUCAACGGAUAAAAGGUACUCCGGGGAUAACAGGCUGAUACCGCCCAAGAGUUCAUAUCGACGGCGGUGUUUGGCACCUCGAUGUCGGCUCAUCACAUCCUGGGGCUGAAGUAGGUCCCAAGGGUAUGGCUGUUCGCCAUUUAAAGUGGUACGCGAGCUGGGUUUAGAACGUCGUGAGACAGUUCGGUCCCUAUCUGCCGUGGGCGCUGGAGAACUGAGGGGGGCUGCUCCUAGUACGAGAGGACCGGAGUGGACGCAUCACUGGUGUUCGGGUUGUCAUGCCAAUGGCACUGCCCGGUAGCUAAAUGCGGAAGAGAUAAGUGCUGAAAGCAUCUAAGCACGAAACUUGCCCCGAGAUGAGUUCUCCCUGACCCUUUAAGGGUCCUGAAGGAACGUUGAAGACGACGACGUUGAUAGGCCGGGUGUGUAAGCGCAGCGAUGCGUUGAGCUAACCGGUACUAAUGAACCGUGAG